ensembl:lncRNA
ACAUCAUGGUGCAUGUGCAGCAGUAAAUCACUCAUUUUGAAACCCAUAAAAGCCAAAGCUUCUCAUCUAGAUUAGGUUUUGGUGCUUUGCCAGUUUCCACAAGAGACUAGCAAGAGAAAGGAAACAGCAUUUUUUAGUAACUUGACUGCGAUCUAACAAAAUAAAAGAAAGGCUCAUCUCUUAUCUCAGAGCUUUCUCCCUCGUGAGCUUAUGAACCCUGCUACAUGCCUGGUGGAUUGCAUGAGAACCUCAAAAAGAAAAGCAGUUCGGAUGUUUAAAAAUGGUCAGGAGCAGCCUUCAUGUGAGGAAUGAGCAUUGCCCCAUGGUGGGAUCCUGCAGAGAUGCAGUCCGCACCUGGCUGAUGAACGCUGGUGCCUUUGGCUGGCCCUGGAGAGCUUUGGCUGGAGGGAAGAGUAGAAAGUGGUUUUCUGGAUGCUUGCUUUGAGUUCAUUAGAAGCUGGCCCAUUUGAACGGAUAGGUCAAACAGAGGAUGGAGCCUGCCUGUCCCCAGCGUGCCCUCUGCCCUGGCAGAAAGAAGGCUGAAACAUGUUACCUUUGUUCCCUGAGCAGCCGGAUGACCUUGUCCCAGUUAAGUGUGAAUCCUUGAAGUGUACGAGCUCGGCACUGAACCCAACGCUCUGCAAUGGCAGCAAUGCCCCUCUGUUACUUGAGUGCUGUUCAGAAGGUAACAGUACAAGACCCCAAAACAGUGUUUUGCCUCCGAGCUGGCUCUGUGUUCAGAAGACCAAUUCAAUACGUAACUCCUGUUCUCUGCAUGAACCUGAGUGUUUGUCCAGGGACUCCUUGGGCCAUGUCUCAUCAUACUGCAAAAUGAAUUGUUCCCUUUCUACCCAUCGUUGAUCAUCCAAGCGAUAAGAGCUUCACAACUUAUACUAGGAGAACUGCUUUUGGUAGUACCUUAAAUCUACCUCAGGUAGGUUCUCUUAUUCUCUUAUGUUCACUCAGGCUCAUGGAGGAAAGAAUGACUUUCCAUUUUAGAGAAGACUGGAAGGUAAGUCCUUAAGCUCACCAAAGUAUGUUUGAUUACUUCUCUUAAUAGGAUGAAGAAAUAAUUUCUUCACCUGGAAGGUUUUAGACUUCACAGUAGACAAUUUCUGCUUUUAAAGAAAGAGGUUUUACUGUUCCACCAGCAAAAUUUGAAACAUAAUCUGAGUAUGCUUUCUCUCUCUUUGUGUGUGUGUGUGUGUGUGUGUGUCUGCAGUCAGUAACUUCUCUUUUUCAUUUUCAUACAAGAUACUAUCGCAAUGUGUAUGUUGUUAUGUAGUGUACUACCAUAUGCUAUGAGAUCUUUUGCAAGGCAGGUGCCAACCUUACCCCCAGGCAGAAGAUAAUAUUUCAAGCCUCAACAACUUGCCAUAACCACUGUGCUAACCACGGUGCACAUUCACUGUCUACCUAAUCAAAUUCUUGCUAUACAUCACAUUAAUGCUGUGCAGUAGUUACCACAGGUCUUGGGUUUAGAGGAAUAUGUUUUCUUAAGAUUAGAAAAAAGUAUGAACUUGACAGAAAGAGUCCAUCUGUUCAAAGGUUAUGCAGUGCCCACUGAGAUUAUUAGUGAAGGUUGCCAUCUACUCUGAAUCCAGGCUGGCAUAGCAGUUAUGUUGGUAUGAAGUUGUGAAAGACUGUUGAGUUUGUUUUUAUCACAAAUGUUCUCCAUAACUCUCUUCAAUAACUCUUCAAAGCUGUUUUUUCAAGGUGAAUACAGAAUAAGUAUCAUUUGACUGUAUCGCAUAGUUGUCAUUGAAGAGUAGCAACACCAUAUCCAAGGGGUUUUUAGUUCUGCAAAAAGCAUACACAGGGAUCUGCAUGAGAAGAAGUGGAAGCUUUCCAAAAAAGUAAGCUGACAAAGAAAUCAAGUAUGUAAUAAAAAAAAGUGAGCAUCAAAGCCACCAAGCUCUUUCUCAAGGGUGCCUUCUUAUGCAGGUAUAUCCUAUAUAGUGCAGCUUAUCCUUUCAGUGGCUUUUUUUUCCCAACAUUUCUUUUUAUAUUAUUUACAGAGAAGAACAUUACUCAUGUUUAAUUGAUAAAUACAGAUAUUUUUCUUCAGCUGAAGAAAAUAAUACAUUCCAUUGGUAAUUUGUUUAAUGUAGGUUGUUUAAUAACUAAAAUGAUGUUAUUAAACCUACAAUUUAGCAUACUUAAAACAAUAUAUAUUAUUUUAUUUCACUUUACAUUCAGUGAAAUUUUUCAGACUUAAAGAUCCUGAAGAGAAUAAUAGGACUAUGUAAAAACAAUCCAAACUUUUGGAGUUGGGAUGAAAGAAAUUUUAAAGAAGAAAUCAUUGGCAGUGGAGUAUAUCAGGAAUGGUAGUGUGUUUCAGGGGGGGUGUGUAGUGGCAAGGAGAAGAUAGGAAAGUAUUUUUACGUAAGUGCCAUUUUAGUAAAAUUAGCUGAAUUCUCUUUCAUAUAUACUAAACUUCCACAGGUAUUGACAGAGGAGAAUUAGGCCCUGCUAUUUAACACAUGCAGUUUUCUAUGUUUAUCUCUUAGCAUUUUGCUUUUACAAGCACAUCUUAUGCUUUUACAAGCACACUUUCCAACAGCUAUCAUGCAAAACACUGUGUAUUUUAUAUGACUGAGAUCAUACCAACUCAUUUCCGUUAAAAGCCACCAAUUUAAUUCCUCCUCCCUGCUACUUGACCUAGGCUCCUUCUGAACCGUUCAGCUGCGGUAACAACUCAAAAGGAAACAGAUAAUGAUGGUAAACUGGGUGUCAUCCUUCUCUUAAUGUAUAGCCAUUGUAAUACAGAUACAGCAGACCAACAAUGACUCAGUAACACCAAGCCUGCAAUUUUGCUGUGUUUGCAAUUUCCAGGAAGAAAAGCAGCUCACGAUUACAUGUAUUAAACUUUCAGAUGAUGUUGAAAUUAUGAUGUUACAUCAUUUAUAUUAUCAGUCAACCUACAGGGAGAGAACGUUAGGUCUUUAUGUGGCCCAGGUGCACAUUUCUUAUAAUUUAAUCUGCACAAAGCAUCCUCAUUUCACAAGAGAACUCUAAUUCAUUCUGUGAAAAACCACAGCAUGCCCACUGUCCUCCCCCUGGUGCAGUCAGUAAAUUACAACUAACAGUUCAUAACUGUUAUCUGCAUUUAAUCUAGCGCCCUUUGCAGUGAGUUCAGCCAGCUUCACUCUACAAGCCAGUGACAUUAUAUAGAAUGCCAUGAAUUACCUUCAUGGAGAUCAUGGAUAGCAAAAGGGUCUGCUUUAGAAAAAAAUAAAAAUAAUAAAUAAAAAUAAUAAAAAGCACACACAGCUAAUUGGUUUUAGACAAAUGUGUGUAGGAAAAGCAUUUGUAUAUGGUUUUCUGAGAACCAAAUCUCAGUUUAAAGAGGAUACAUCAGUAGUAGGAGAGAGCCAACUAUCAUUUGCCUGCCUUCCUCUCUGUUUCUCAUUGUCUUCCUUUUGUUUCUCCAUACUUUCCUUGCCCAGUCUGUCACAGGCCAAGGAUCAGGAUGAUGGGGGAAACUGAACUUUCCUCUUGGCCAGAUCCCACCAACAGCAUCAACGUUGGAAACCCAGGAGUACAGCGUUGGAAAAGAGGGAUUAAUUCCUCUGAGUUAACAUCUAAGGCAAGUGUGUCCAACCUCUGGUGUGCAAGUCAUGAAUAGCCCAGGACAGCUAGUGACAUGGCCCCACAAGAUCUUAAUUUUUUAUCAUUAUUAUGUGACUUUUAGUGAUACUUUUCAUUUGAGUCAAUUGAAUGUAGCUCAAACACGGACUGCAUAGUAUUUUACAACUCAAAAUAUUGUCGCUGAAAGGGUGCAGGGCAGAGAUAACUACACCUCUUGUGCCCACCGUUCACACUCAGUCACCUUGAAACCUUUGUGUGUAACACAUUGCAUGCACUUGUGCCACUUGGUGAGUAAAACACAGUGAUUGUGAUGUGUGUGUACUUUGAAGACACGUACGCUAGACUGUAGUCAGGCAAACUGAAGAAACAGGAAAAUCUAUCAAUAGAAAUAUGGAGAGUAAAUUUUCUCAUUUCGAAUUUUAUACUUUGGCAGUAGAUGGAAGUAUUGAUGCUACAGGCAUGGUUCAACUUGCCAUAUAUAAUAGAAGUAUUGAUUACAAAUAUAGCAUCACUGAAGAAAUGACAUCUUUGGUGCCAUUAAAAGACACAACUAAAUCUCUUGAUUUGUACGAAGCAGUAGAAAUUACAUUAAAGAGAUUUUCUUUAACUUUUGUCAACAUAUAACAUAUAGCUACUAAUGGGCUCUCCUGUGAUGGCUGGUUUAAAAAAAAAAGAAAGAAAAAAGAAAGAAAAGAAAGAGACAUCUAAAUAAUAGGAGAUAAUGCAGUUGAUGUUUGCAACUCACAUUUGAUGAAAUAUUGCUGCAUCAGAUAUCAGGAAAAUUUAUGUGCAAAAGCCUGAAAAUUGAUAAUGUCAUGCAAAUUGUCAUCAAAACUGUGGAUUUCAUAAAGUCCAAAGGAUUGAAUCAUCGCUGAUUCAAGGAGUUCCUUAAAAGUAUGGAUUUUGAUUGUGGGAACAUAAUUUUCCUUUCUAAAGUAAGAUGAUUAAGUCAAGGUAAAAUGCUGAAAACUUUGCAAAGUGAAAUCAAGACAUGUAUGGAAGCAAAAGGAGAAUCUGUGCCAGAACAUGAAAGAAGAAAAAUGGCUCACAGACUUAAUACUUUUGGUGGAUUUGACUACUUGUUUAAAUGAGUUAAACAUGUGUCUUCAAGGUGAAAAGCAACUGAUCUAUGCAUGUUUCCAGCCAUAACAGUAUUUGAAAUGAAACUUAAAUUAUGGCAAACUCAAGUUAUGGCAAUUUUUUUGUUUGUUUGUUUGCAUUUGGAUACAUUAACACUGUCCUGUGAAAUAUUGCAGCUAGGCUUUCUGUUUUGAUAAAGAUAUUAGAGAAGAGGUUUCAGGAUUGCUGAAAAAACAAUCAAUGUUUUGGUUUAUUUGUGACUCCAUUUUUACUUGACAGAAAUAUAUUACCCGCCAUUUUCAAAUGGAAUGUAUAGAACUGCAAUCAAACAUUCAAAUCAAAGAAAAAUUUGAUCAUGUCUCUUUACUUUUUUAAAACCUAUCUUAGCAGGCAAAAAUAUUCCUAACUUCACAAGCACAUCUUAUUCAUGUCAUCACUUUUUGGCAGUAUGUACAUUUGUGAGCCACAAUUUUCAAGGAUGAAGCACAGGAAGAGUAAAAUUUCAUCAAAAAUCUCUGAUGAAUGCCUUGGUAACCAAGGAAGUGUUACAGUUACUUUGUUUUUGUUUUGGUUUGGUUUUUAAUCACAUUCUUCUUUCUAUUUAAUUCAAGUUUGUUUUUAAAGGAAAAAUUUAAAAAACACUGAUGAAAGAUAUUUCCAGAUGAAGGAACUGCCAGACUUUGUGUCUCCAACCAUUUUACAUCUAUCCAGAAUUCACAAGAAAUGAUUAUCAUCAAUGAGUUAAGAAACAACAACAACAACAAAAACAGAACUGAAGGAAAUCAUUAGCAAUGGCUCCUAGAAAUCACCAGAUAAGGAGUUUCAUAUCCUCUGUAUGGCAUAUCUUCAGGUUGUAGCACAUCAGUAGCAUGGAUCUCAACCAAAGCCAUCAGAAGUUCUCGUUUCCGGAAGUUUCUUGAAGAUAUGCAUAACUCAUAAAGUAGAGUGCAGCUUUGGAAGAAUGAGUUGACACAGACAAGGUAGCAUUCAAAAACUACAACUGAAUUAUACUGCUGCUGGAGAAAUGUGAGCCAAAAAGAAUUCAUCUUGAUAUUCCGAUCAUAAGCAGUGAAUGCAGAGUUUGCUGGUAAUGGGCCUCCUUGAAAGCUGAAAAGGGCCAUGCUGAGAAUGCAGGGAAAGCGAUACUGAAGACAAGGAUGUUUGUGGGGCAAGAAGCAAGGCAUACCAUAAUAUUACUCCCAUUCUCCUUGGACCACCGAUUUCAAGGAUGUUCGAAGCAAGAUACAGCUGCCUCUCCGCAGUCUGUUCUACAGGCAUUUAGAAGAAAUGGAAAGAAGGAAUACCCCUGAGGUGGAGGUCAUCCCUGCUAGAUCACAUUUGCCUGCUCUGAUUCACUCUCAGGAGGAGCACUGCAAAGAGAAGGUACCUCUUCAUACAGAUCUUGCUGGAUACAACUGGAUCAAUUGAACUUAUGUGAGAGAGAGGUACAAAGGAAGUAAAUGCAGGUACGUAGAUAAUUUACAGGAAAGUUUAGCCAAAGUAGCUAAGUUUUUACUAACAUACAAUUAGCUGAAAGUGAUGGAUUUUCUUCAAGUGUUGGGUAACUUACUAGUUAAUACGCUGGACCAUUUUUCCUGAAUAUGUUCAGAACUGUGUAGGUUUUUGAGUCUUCUAUUUCUAAUAACAGACAGAGCAAAUUUUAAAGGAGAAGGAAAAAAGCAAAACAAAACACACACACAUGCAUACAAAAAAUGCAAAAACAAAAACAGCAACAAAAACCUCCAUUGGUGGGUUUUGGAAUCUCUUAAUCCUAUUUUUGCUUGUCUCAAUACCAUGUGCAUUUCCUGAAGGGGCUUGUGUGCUGAUCUGCACUAUUACCAUAUGUUCUACAUAUGAAAAUAAUUCAGUGAGAGUAGUUGUCUAUGUUUGUAUGCGGUGCAUAUACACAACAUACAAACACACACACACACACAUUCUUAUUUAUACUCAUAAAUCAUUGCUUUCAAGAACAGAUGCCCUUCUACUGCUCUGUACCUCAGUGUUUCUACACUCGAGAGUGCCUUAAUUUGGAAAAAAUUGCAACUGUCACAGCUCUGCUGCAGUAAUGGUUUUGUAAGAACCAACUUAAUAAAAACAUCAAGCCUCUCUGUUCCAAACAAUUUUAUUAUAGUUAACAACUCAGCCAGUUAUCAAAUAUGUUGUCACCAAUGCACUCUGUCUUCGUGAAUGAUGACAUGGACGAGCCCUGGAUUUCUGUAGUGCUUUACACAUAUACACAGUGCCUUACAGCUGUGUAGCAGCGUUUCCUUAAGGAAUAAAACUGCACAGGAAGUAGAUAGAUGAACCAUGUGAUAACUAUUUUUUGAUGAAAAGCUUCUACAGGCAUCAAAUUAGUUUACCUGAAAUAAUUUAAACAACAGUAGAAUAAUUACAAAGUCCACUGUCUGGACCUUGACUUUUCUGAAACAAGCAUACAAUUUUUAAUAAUCAUGACCUUCACCUUCAGCUCUGACCUUUGUCUCUCCAAAACAUACCCCUUUGCUGUAUAUGCAUGGAUGUCUUAACAUGAAUAACCUCCUUAAUGUAGAUACUUAUAUAUCUAAACUUCACAGAGACUUUUAUGUGCCUUGAAUGUAGUUUCUAUGUAAAGUGUGUGUUCAUGUAAAAGCCAUAGUUUUCCGCUUAGUACUUUUUUUCAUUAAAAGCACAUUGAUGUCACCUGCACUUUGCCCAGUGGUAAAUCUCUGUUUGAAAUAUGCUGCCUUUUUAUUGUUAUUUUUCAAGAAUAUGCUACAGAAAUGUUCUCUGUGCAUCAGAUGAACGUGGAGCUGGGUAUUAUGCUACACAGCCUUGUACUGAUAUGCAGUUUUCCUCCACUGUUUAAAUGUCUGAUAUUUCAGGGACCAAUUGGUUUAGAAAUUGAAGCUAAGAAACGUUGAAUUGAGAACUGUGACAAAAUGUCAGUUCUGUAGAGUUUUACCUUUAGAAAACACAACUGAGUUUGACUCACUAUGUUUUCUGGUAACCAGCGAAUAGAAAAUGUGUUCUUACUGAUUUUAUUUUAUUUUAUUUUAUUUUUUUCCUAUCUCCAGAGACACAUUCAGUGUAUGGUAAACUAAAGCCAUUAUAUUAUUCCAGAAAACAGAUGUGAUAAUUAAGAACAGGAAUAAGUUUCAAAAUUCAAUGGAAAAAAUAGUUGUCAAGUUUAUUUCUGAAGAGAAGCACAAACAAAAUGCAUGCCAAUGUGUGGAUGAUUAAUGGGGGAAUUUCCAAAGUCUUUCCAUUAGUUCCUUUAUACUGCUGUACACAAUCAUGCAUGCUUUGUAUGGCCAUCAUAACUUUACGCAAUAUACUUGACCAUAAUGCCAAUCAACAGUUUCUCCUGGCAAACAGAAAGUGUUAAGAACUUCAAUACAAGAAGACUUUUUCUGCUUCAGAUGGAAUGGAUUCUGUUUGUCAUUAUUCACUUCCUCCUCAACUUGCUCAGUGUGCAUCUAAAUUAAUUCCUGUCACUUAGGUGCUCUCUUGAUAAAUACACGAUCUAUAUUUAAUGUCUCUUUAUUCUCAUUUUAUUAUACUUGUAUGCAGUAGUGAAAGAAGAUAACGGGCAGAGCAGUGUACCACAGCAGAGAAUUUGAUAUUGCUCCUUUUCACUUUUUGGUGGAACAGCUAUAUUUAGCAACACAGACUGUCAGCCACAAAUUGCCUACCUAUGUGCUCACUUUUUCCAAUCCGUGAUAUAGAAUUCUCUGUACUACAUUGAUAAAUAUCGCCACGUUUCACCCAUACAGCUAUAGUAAUUGUUUCCAUAGUAACUGAUUAAUUUACAAAUGUUCUGAACUGGAAGAUUAAUUGGAAGAGGAGCAGAGGCGUAAAUCCAGUAUAAUAGGUGCUUGUGUGGGUGCUGUAAGGCUUUUGUUGCCUGUGCCAUAGGCAGUGCUUUAGUUAAGGAAAAUGAGGGGUUGAAACUCAAUAUUUUAGGUGAGGUGUGAUUUACAAUUGCAAACAUAUAGGAGUGCAGAAGUCAAAAUAAUAAACCUUUGGUAAAUUUGCACACUCCUCCAUUUGCUACGUAUAAUUAUUUCCUGUCUGUGGUAUUAAUUCCUUGUGAGUAAAAGUUUCUCAUAGCAUGUCCUGCUGCAGUGUUGCUAAGUUCACCUAUUGAAUGCAGUUGGUUGUGUGGUGUUAGUUGUUUUUCUUUGUUUGUUUUAUUUAUGUACUUUGUCUAAAAAGCCAUCGAGUUUUUCUGUUAUGGGCAAGGAAAUUUAAAAGUUCCCAUUGUUUUUCAGUGCAGUAAAAAUAUAUUGAGAACUUCCAGUGCAUGCAGGCUGCAUUUAGCAUAAACAGGAAUCACAACAAUUGCUCUUUGUAAAUGAAAAAUCACUUGAAUUUAUGGCAUUGUUUUUUUGUUGUUUCUCUUCACAAAGAGGAAGAUAUUGCUGAGGCUACGAUCAUGGAUUUCCUUGCAAGACUGUCUUCUAGGCUCUUUGUUCUCUUUAGUUGGUGCAAAGUAGUUAUGGUAACUUACAGUGCAAUAAUUCACAUAUCCCACAAAGUUUAUUUGUUUGCUAAAAACAAACUACCUUUUUCCUCCCAGUACUUUGAAUCUCUUCUCGGGCACGCCAUUAGUGAAGUGCUUUCUUUCCAAAUCUGGAAAAAAAAAACAAAACACCAUCAAAUUGAGACUUAAUUUUAAGCUAUUUCUGAACGGAAGUAAUGAUGAAAAUAUGAAUGUUUCACCACGUUGUGAAACAUACAAGUAAAUUGGAUUUAAAAACCUGUUUUUACAGCCUGUGCUUUCUAUGUUUAUGUGCUCAGGUCUUGGGGCAGCGAAGGACCCCUUACCCAAACUGUAGGCGCUACAAAUGAGCAAUGCAAUCUGGCCAAAUCUCAGUGACCCCCUCCUGCAGAGCUCAGGCUGGGCACUGUACAUUCCUUUCUGAUACUUUGGUGCUCCAGGAGGAUUUCCAAAAUCCUUUUUCCUGGGUUGGGUGCCUUAUUGAUGUCAAAAAACAAUGAAUAGAAUAGAUAUAGGAGAAAAAGAGGCAGGCACUGUGGGCUCGGUUUCAGGUGUUCAAAGACUCAUAGAAAAAGAUUCAUUCUGAAAAGUGCAUGCAAAACAUGAUUAUUUGGAAAAACAAUUAUUUGGAUUCAUUGAUGUUUAACUAUUCAGAGGGCAUCACUUGAGUUUAUGAAAAGUCAGAAAAAGUGCAGGAGAUACUAGGAUGGAUGCAAGUUUGAGGAAAGUAUCUUUGUUUAUAUUCUGGGAGAUGGGAAAAGGUGACCUCAAUUUUGAAGUUUCUGCUUCAGGCCAAUGUUAACGGCCAGAUCAUUAUGUUGCAUAAAAUCUUUUUACAGCAAUAUGCUAUUUCUAACUUUUUAAAAUAUUGUGCAGGCAUAAGGACCAAAUGCCACAAUGGUUUGUUAAUAAAAUUGCCACUUUGCCUAAUACAAGACUAACUCAAAUAAUGUGGAAAACAACAUUUCAAAGUCUUUCAAAUACCCCUUCCUGAAGUAUACAUGUAAUUAAGGCUGACUGAUCUUGCAGUUAGUUAUAGUAGGUGCUGAAGUUAUUUUCUUCCCUGACAAAAGGCAGAAUGGAUGAAAUCCUCUCAGAGAUUUCCUGAUAAUGGUGCAGAUUGUGUCUUUGAAUGAGAGACCCUGAAGUUAUACAGCACUGAUACUCCAGCUGUUCACCUUCUAAUCCCCCAGGUCAGGAAUCGGUCUGUGAUUCACAGGCUUCUGCUGUCCAGGCAUGCACAAAACAUACAGUCUCUCCCCAUUUUGAUAUUAGGCUGCCUUUGUACUUGCGAGCUGAGCCUGGUUUCAUGCUGCAUCUCUUCGCAGAACACCUGCAACUCCUUUAGGUUGUUGUAAUUCCACAGCACAUCACUCUAUUUUGCCAGCAAAAAUAUUGAGUUCAGGCACAGCUGCAUCAAUUAGCUCCUCAAGUCUGCAAAUAGUGAUACUGGUGACAUUUUUUUGGAUGAAUGAGGGACCUACUGGCAAGUACAUAAAUGAAAUGAUCAACAUUCUCUUUCAUGUUUCUUUGUGUUUAAACAUUCUUUUACCAUCGUGUACUUUGAAAGUGACAGUCUUCUGCCCUUAGCUCAUAAAACACUAACAAAUAUUUUGCAUCUGUCACUACCAUGCUUCAUAGAUGCACAGAUGUACAUGCUGAUUAAAUAUACAAGGGCUGCUCUGAAAGUUAUGCCUCCUACUUUAUUAUAUUGGCCCAUGACAUCAGAGAUAAAUGUUGGUGUUACGGCAGUAAAGGUUGAACCUUCCCAAGAAUAUUCUGUUACAUUUUGCUGCCAUGCAACAGAUGGCAGCAGAGGGGCAGUGUGACAAAAUGGCAUCUGACAUGGAAGUGCAUGUGAAAAAAGGGGUGUUAUUGAAGUCCUCCAUACAGAACAAAUGACACCCACUGACAUUCAUCAACACUUGCUGAACAUCAGUGGAGACCAAACAAUGGAUGUGAGCGCAGUGAGGCGGUGGGUGGUCUGUUUUAGCAGUGGUGACAGUUAUAUGAAAGAUAAGUAUGGCAUGCAAGCCCUUGGCAAAAAUGCAUAGCUAAUGGUGGUGCUAAAAAUAGCUUUCUGUAGCUGAGAAUUCUCUCCAUCAAAUAGUGUUAUUGUGCUCUUUGUAUCUGUUGUAGUUUCCAUGGAAAUUAAUGGGAGACAUUACUUCCAGGGUGACCUAUAUGUAUAAAUAUGUAUUUACCUUGGUCAGAGAUAACUGAUAUUUUGUGAUACAAACUACUUUAUUAUACAACUAGUGUCUUAUGAUCACUGAAUUUCAUUAUGUUGUUGUUAUCCUGUGCUGUUCCAGAUAGUUUCUCAUCUUGUUGUCUUUCCACAGAUACCCAGCCAAAGCCAAAGGAACUAAAGCUCACUGUAUCAUUAGGAGGAUGAAUCCCUCCUGUUGCUUUAUUUCUUUUCCAUUUGUUUGUUUUUUCUUUUUGUCUUUUUUGUUUGUUUUUGUCUUUUCUCUUUUUGGUAACUAAAAUCCAGAUCUACUAGGACACAUUUUGAAGAAAAAAAUGUUGGAAUGAUGGGGAAUAUAUCCAUCAACAAGAUGAGGAAAAUAGGAUCAAAGCCCAGGAAAGAGGAAGUCAGCUGGGAGGACUGUGCAGGUUAAUGUAGAGAUAAAGCAAAUCUUCUGAACGUUUGCCCCUAGCUGGAGCCCUGAGAGACAGGAGAGUAUACAUGCAUUAGACAUCUACUCUACCCGGCUGAUUUCAGGCAAUGAUUUGGAACAGAAGAUAUGAAGAUAUGAGCUCUGCCCUGCUUGGCUUGACACAGAAAAGAGAUUUUCUGUUGAUAUCACUGUUGGGUAGAACUGGUGCUUGACGUUUUCAUUAAAAUAACAGAUACAGCUCUACUUGCUGCUGUAGCUGCAAACUCCCUUGUUUAUAUUGCCUCUGUUUUACUUUCAGGGCAGGAACAUCCCCUUGGUCCUCAGACUGUUUAGAUUCAGGGAAGCAGUGAAUGUCAGUGUGUGUGUAUGUAUUCAGUUCCCUCUCUGUACAUUUAGAAAUUGUAAAGGGAAAUUUAUUGUGAAGAGGGAAAAAAUAUAGGACUGGUUUCUGUCCCUGUGCUAAUAUCAUGGUAUUAACAUAGGUGAAUUGCUGCUGGUUGAUAUGAGCCUGGCUUCCAAGAGGACAUUCUUGUAGCACCUUGAUUGCCUGGGCCACCCCUCCAAGGAGGCUCAGCGGGCAGCCUCAGCCUUUCUUGUUUGCUGUUUUGUUGUUUCAGUUCUCAGCUGGAGAUUAUUUCUUCUUUCUGUCUCCUCUUGAUACAUGAAUGUGCUGUGUCAGGCUUGCCUUCAGGUCAGUGUCCUGUGCAGGCCUCGCCAUGGUGUCAGCAGUAAGCAGAUCUGAGAAGGCCAAAGGCAGGGCAUCAAUGGAAAAUGAGCCUAACAAAUGGGAAGUCAGGCUGGAUGGCCAGCCAUAAUGUCUUUCCUCUCACGAAACAUGACAGAAAGGCACAACAGAAAAGGCUGCUUUUCCUUAUCUUUAGCCUUUCACCUGGGUUUGUUUUUUCCUCUGUCCUAAUGGUUCCUUGUCAGCUUUUUCUGUGUCCUGACUUCCUUUCCCCUGAGCCUCUCUUGAGAGGCAGAGGAACAGGGUCUGAGCAAGGCAACAGUGGGCAACAAGCUAUAAAUUUGACAGAUUAUGAACGUGCUUCAGUGUGCUGUGUAACCUGUAAAUCAAAACCCAUUUUAAGACCAGCAAUGAAUCCCUGUAUAUCAAAAAGCAGGAGAUGUUAGAAUAGGCAGUUGCUGCCUCUUACAAUAGCUCCUCCAGAAACACAUUGUGCAGAGGGUCUUGUAUUCAUCAUUAAAAUUGUUUUCUUUCUUCCAUUAGCUGCUAUGCAGCAUGUAUGUAUUAGAAGUCAUGGCUAGUAUGACUUCAUUGAUAAAGCUCCAUUGUAUCCAACAUGAAAAGAGAAUAAAAGAGGUAAUAUUCUCUGGCAUAUCAUGUGGACUCUCUUUUUACAGCAUGGACUUCAAGGGACAGAAAUGUCUCUCGUUAGGUUUUCUUCUCUGCUACUGAAAUCCUGGUGAAAUCCAAGCUCACAAAUUGAGCUUAAAACUGAAAGGGAGUUGAGCACGUCAAAAUGCUUCAUAAACCAAAGGCACAGCAAAGUUUCAGAGAUAUGUUUAAAAUAUGUACAUCUCUUUGACUGAUACUUUAUAGUGAGAGACUGUCACUGUGGGCAGACAAAAAAUUACCCUUCUCUGCUUCAGCAGACCAACCCACAUCCUACCUGGUUAAGUUCACUCCCUCAGCAAGGGAUGUGGAUGGGGACCGCUUCUGGCAGCAAGGAAGGAAGGCAGCAGUCUGUAUUUCCCCACCUCCCUUCUCCUCUCCAGACUAAGAACAAGCACUGAAGUGCGGGACAUGAGGUAAAUGCAAUCGCUAUGAAUUAAAACUUCAGCUCCUUAAGUGCUUUUGUUACUAUUUGGUCAUCUGUUUAUUUUCCCAAGAAAGCUGAACUAUCCAGAGGAUGCUCUGAAAAGAGGGGCUACCCAGAAUUGGGUAUCUGAUGGGCCUGAUCUUGAAGCCAA